UCAGAAGAGAUUUAAACACUGACUCAAACUCUGCUCAGAUUUGCUAAGCCUCUGAAUAUCACAGAGCUGCUGAAAGCAUUUUCACUCCCCAGACACAAGGCCUACGGAAGCCCGUUGCCACCAUGAAAGAAAGGGAACAGAUUGAUUGCUUUGCAGAAAUGGCUGUGGCGGGCAUCUGCCCAGAGAGCAAUAUAACAACAUAAAAACUAAAACCACUCUGUUUAAUUCGAUUUUUAAGAUAAUAUGAAUCAAACAAGGCCUUCAUGCACCAACAUCUUGACUGUUUGUAACUAAACACUUAAACUCAGGUAUUUGGCUUGGACGUGGGCUGAUGUUCUCAGCUGUGUUUGUAUAUCUUGUUCUGUGAUUGUUGACUGGUUCUGUUCACUCCACAUCAUGAUACAACACAGAUCUUGAACCCUGUGGUAGGCAUCAACUCUAAGGAACUUAAAUGUGAACUGUAGCAAAAGUACAUUCUGCCUGACUCUCUUUAAAAGUACAAACCUAAAGAAGAGGAUUGCGGAGCUUUGAUGGCAUGACAGCAGUGAUUUACUGUUAGUGUGCAUGUUAUGGCUUCUUCUGCCUUCAAGCAAUGAUCAUCUUUAUUAGAUGUGCACAUGAACCUCACCACAAUGUCUUAAUCACUAUUGGGUAACUGGAUUUUCUUUGAUUUUCUUUCUUGGCAUUGGUAGUCGUAAACGUUGCCUCUACAAUUUCUUGUGUGCACAUUUUGUGAAGAAUAGUGGAAAUCUUCAGCUUCCCCUUAUUUGUGAACUGUGACAAUGCUCAUUGAAUAACAAUUAGAAUUAUUUUCUUCCCACGAGACAAAUGUGUUUGUAAGAGUUGUUUUUAAGUUAAUUACAGAGACUAUUCUUGUUUGUUUAUUCUGACAUCAUAUCUAGCAUUGAUCUUAAAAAAUGUCUUAUCUUUUUUGU